rnacentral:lncRNA from 1 species
GUAGUAACAGAAUUUGGUGUUGGGUGAGUCACAGCGAGGGCACUUUAGCUGCUCUUGCUCCGGUUGCUGCUUCGCCGUCGUCGUCAUCAUCAUCGCUUGCUGGUAAUACGCUGCUGCUGACGUCAUAUCCUGCAUUUUUUUUUUCACUCGGGAAUAAAAACAAACGAAAAUUCUGUUACUGUAAAAUUUCCUCUGAAUCGGAACCCGAAAACUUUUUUUUUUUGGUUUUUGGGGAAGAUGAAGUAUAAAUUUGUUUCCUUUACGUGAAAUCUGAUUAGUGCAGAGAGCUUUUAAAAAGAGUAAAGAUGGAAUCUUUUGGUGGUGGCAAACUGCGAAAUAUGAAUGGGGUAUUGAGGAAGAGAGAUAAAGAGUGGAGAUAUUUGGUGGAGUGAGUGAGAGAGAGAGAGA